rnacentral:rRNA from 1 species
GACGAACGCUGGCGGCGUGCUUAACACAUGCAAGUCGAACGGAAAGGCCUGCUUUCCCUUGUGGAUUGCGGGUACUCGAGUGGCGAACGGGUGAGUAACACGUGAGUGAUCUGCCCCCAACUUUGCAAUAAGCUUGGGAUACUGGGGCUAAUUCCCGAUAGGUCUGCAGGGUGGUGCCUGUGGUGGCAAACGAUUUUCUAGUGGUUGGGGAUGAGCACCCGGCCUAUCAGCUUGUUGGUGGGGUAAUGGCCUACCAAUGCGGGGACGGGUAGCCUGCCUGGGGGGGUGGGCCGCCAGAGGGGGACUGCGAUACGGCGCCGAAGACUAGGGCCGGCAGCAGACGGGAAGAAUGAGCAGUGAGCGGAAGCCUAAUGGAGCGAGGCCGAGGGGGCGAUGACGGCCUUGGGGUUGUAAACUCCUUUCGAUAGCGAGGAAGCGACCUGGAUGGAAGGGUGGUGACGGUAGUGGGAGAAGAAGCACCGGCUAACUACGUG